rnacentral:lncRNA from 1 species
AAGAUUUGAUAACAAAUAGAAAACCCAUCAACAUCUUAUUUGCCAUUAUAGAAACAUAUGUGCAUGAAAAUAGGUGUUAAAAUUUUAUUAUCAGAAUAUCCUACUCUUUUCUACCAUUUUUCUGUCCUACUGCUUUCUUCCCCUGAUACAGAAAAUUGUUUUCGACAUCACUAGCAUUUUUAAGAUAUAGUGUUGUGUAAAAAAGCUGUUCUCAAAAGGGGCCCCAUGGAACCCUGAAGAUCUCUGGCUCUCUUUUUAGAGGUACCUGAGGUCAAAACUAUUUUUGUAAUAAUACCACUGUACCGAUAUUUGAACAGAACUGCAAAAGCAACAAUGGAUAAAGCAAUAAUGAUGCCUUAGCGAGAAUCAAGGCAAUGCCGCCAAACCAUACUUAGGAAUCACUGCAUUCUUUUCCAUCGCAAACUUGCAGUAAACACAAACUCAUGCACACACACACACACACACACAAAAAAAAAAAAAAAAAAAACAUAAAAACCAUUUUACUUAAGAAUGUUCUUGGAGUUCCUGUCAUGGCACAGCGGAAAAGAAUCUGACUAGGAACCAUAAGGUUGCGGGUUUGAUCCCUGGCUUCACUCAGUGGGUUAAGGAUCUGGCAUUGACAUGAGCUGUGGUGUAGGUUGCAUACGCAGCUCGGAUCUGGUGUUGCUGUGGCAUAGGCUGGCAGCUGUGAUUCCCAUUAGACCCCUAGCCUGGGAACCUCCAUAUGACACAGGUGUGGCCCUAAAAAGAAAAAAAAAAGAAUGUUCUUGAUGAAGCAGCAAAAAUUACUGAUAUUAUUAAACUUUAUCUGUAAAAUGAAAUGGGAAAUACAUAUAAAGCUUUCUGCUGCAUGUCAAAGUACAAUGGCUAUGUUCAGGUAAAAUACUUGUGCAACUGUUUAAAUUGUGAGCCAUUUUUACUUGCAAGCACAAUUGACAAAAAAUGGUUAUUCAGACUUAGGUACCCGGCAAUUGUCUUCUCAAAAAUGAACAAAAUGGGAUUGUCACGUGAGGGAAAAUAAUUGACAGUCGUGUGUUGUCAAUGAUAAAAUUCAAACUUUCAAGUGAAAAUUAGAAUUUUGGGACUCUUAUAUCUUCCAGUAUGAGUUGAAAGCUUUCUAACAACUCCUCUGUUGAGAUUGAUUCUGAUAUUAAUAAAUAUGAAUUUUUAAUAUUUUAUAAUAAAAUGUCAUUUAGCUCAGUGAACAUAAUUCAGGGGACCACUAUUUUCCAAACACUGUAACAUCCAAUGUAUAAUGUUACAAAAUCUUGGUGGAUAAAAGAUUCACUCAAAGUGAAAGAUAUACGAAUGGACUUUAAUACAAAGAGUAUAAAAAUUCAAUGAUAUGGUUUCAGAUUAAACACUACUAACUCUUAAAAAACUACCACUUGUCAAGUUUUGGUAUAGUAUCAAAGAAGAGAAAAACAGUCCUCUUUUCUCCAACUACAUGCAUUGAUAAACCUGGAUUUUCUUCAUAAACUUUACCCAAAAUAAUAUAACAACUUAAUGCAGAAGCAAAUUUGAGAAUCCUAUCUUCUACUAAGUCAGAAAUAAAAAAAGAUUUGUAAAAAUGUAAAAACAAUACCAGUCUUCCCUCUAAAUAUGUUUGUUUCAGAAAAUAGAGUUAUUUCCCAUUUUAUAACGUAUUGCUUAUAUUAACGUAACUUAUGUUAACAGCUAUUAACUAAUGUUAAUAGCAAAUAUGGCUUUGCUGCUGUCAUUCUUAAAUGAGUAAUAAAUAAAAUUUCUUUCGGGAGUUCCCUUCAUGGCUCAACAGUUAAGGAACCUGACUAGGAUCCAUGAGGAUGCAGGUUCAAUCCCUGGACUCACUCAGUGGGUUAAGGACCCAGCACUGCCAUGAGCUGUGGGGUAGGUCGCAGACGCAGCUCAGAUCCUGCGUUGUUGUGGCUGUGGUGUAGGGCUGCAGCUGAAGCUCAGAUCCAAGCCCUAGCCUGGGAACUUCCAUAUGCCACAAGUGUGGCUCUAAAAAGAAAAAAGAAAAAACAAAAUUCCUUUUGAGUUCCCACGUUCAUUUAUAAUACAGCAAAUAUGGAUAGAUAUAAGCCACAUAAAUGAAAGUUCUUCAGAGUUUCAUUAAGUUUUAAGACUAUAAAGGGAUCCUCAGCCCUUAAUUUGAGAAUCACUAGGUACAGCAUUGAAGAGACUAGAAUGUGCAGUUAAGAGAGACGCACAUAUUAGGAUUCAGCCAUUCACUGACUGUUAAGACCCCUUGCAGAAGUCAUUUCAUCUCUCUGAGCUUCAGUUUCCUUAUCUACAAAAAUAACCAUGUUCCUCCACCUCAUGGGGCUGUUAAGGGAAUUCCAUGAAGUCACGGCUCUAUUGUCUUUAACACAUUAUACAUCCUAAUAAUUACUAGCUGCUGAUAUCAUCUUCAGCUUGUCCUUUUGGUCAACUUCUUGAUAUUGGUGAGAAUGGUUCAGAUCUUGAAAGAGAGGAGAGACUGUCCCUCAAGAGAGAUGAGGCUGGCCUCCCCUCAUGGAUGAUGUGGCCACAACUGUCUGAUCUGAGCCACAGUUUUCCACAGUUUUGCCAGACACAAUGACUCCACUGAGGCUCAGCUCUCCUUUUACCCAUGGGUGCUGGGGAGAGUUGUCAUGCAAAGAAGAAUAUUCUAUCAUCUCAUGAG